UACGUAGGGUGCGAGCGUUGUUCGGAAUUACUGGGCGUAAAGCGCGCGUAGGCGGACCUGCAAGUCGGGGGUGAAAGCCCGAGGCUCAACCUCGGAACUGCCUUCGAUACUGCGGGUCUCGAGUCCGGGAGAGGUGAGUGGAAUUCCUAGUGUAGAGGUGAAAUUCGUAGAUAUUAGGAAGAACACCAGUGGCGAAGGCGGCUCACUGGCUCGACACUGACGCUGAGGUGCGAAAGCGUGGGGAGCAAACAGG
rnacentral:rRNA from 1 species